rnacentral:rRNA from 1 species
GACGAACGCUGGCGGCGUGCCUAAUACAUGCAAGUCGAGCGGACGGAUGGGAGCUUGCUCCCAGACCGUCAGCGGCGGACGGGUGAGUAACACGUGGGCAACCUGCCUGUAAGACUGGGAUAACUCCGGGAAACCGGGGCUAAUACCGGAUAACUCUUUCCCUCACAUGAGGGAAAGCUGAAAGAUGGCAUCUCGCUAUCACUUACAGAUGGGCCCGCGGCGCAUUAGCUAGUUGGUGAGGUAACGGCUCACCAAGGCGACGAUGCGUAGCCGACCUGAGAGGGUGAUCGGGCAGACUGGGACUGAGUCACGGCCCAGACUCCUACGGGAGGCAGCAGUAGGGAAUCUUCCGCAAUGGACGAAAGUCUGACGGAGCAACGCCGCGUGAGUGAUGAAGGUUUUCGGAUCGUAAAACUCUGUUGUCAGGGAAGAACAAGUACCGGAGUAACUGCCGGUACCUUGACGGUACCUGACCAGAAAGCCACGGCUAACUACGUG